rnacentral:lncRNA from 1 species
GUUAUCAUCGGUCGAACAGAGCAUAGAGAGAUCACAAAUACGAGGAAAGCCAUCAGAUUUGGUUAGAUACAACGGGCUACAUUGUAUUCUUUUUGCUGAGUAUAUAUUUCUAACUUCUAUAAACUCAAAUCCUAGAGCAUUUAAUGUGCAAACGAGGAAAGCCAAUAUAUGCACUUUCAUUAAUAACCAUACGUAUUAUAAAUAAGACUAAUGAAUCGGAAUCAUUGAUGUCUGCUGAGGCAUAAGAUUUUAAGACAAGUGCAGCCUCUGUUCUUUUUCUUGGAUCCAACCAGUGUAAGUUUUUUUUUGCUUUCUUUUGCUUGGAGAGUGUACUUUUCGUCGUUUAAUAAUAUAGGAUUUGAAACUUUUAGUCUGUAGACCGUGGUUUACCUGUUGGUUGCUCUGUGAGUCAGUCCACAACAAACUCUGCUCAGUUUCAUCUCUUCUUCUUACAUUUUUUCAGUCUCCAACUAUGAAGCUAAUGAAACACCACCCAAAACAAGAGAUUACCAUUUCAUCAAGAAACUAAAUCAAAACGUAGAUGGAACCUUCUUAGAGAAACAUAGAGAAAAUCAAGACAAGAGAUUUACUGAUGUAACAAGAUCUUUAUAUUUUUCUUCUUCUUCAUCAUAUAUUGCUGGAUGUGGAAAUGUGAAAAUCAAAGAAUGAAGCAGUUUCAUAUAUAUAUAUAUAUAUAUAUAACCAGACCUACUGUACUAAACAAAAUCAGAAACUGUGACCAUAUGUUUCUAUAUAGAGGUUUGGGUUGAGCUUGAAUGUGAAACUUCAGGGACUGACAACAAGACAGAGUUUGAACCAUACGUUUCCUCAAUUAUCAUCAACACACGUUUUAUUAAUGAUUUUAACUUAAAGUCAACAAUAAACAAAGCCAAAAGAUUUGCAUAAACCAAAUUACCUUUUAGGAUUUAAUCCGGUGAUCCUGAAUCUCAUGGAACACAAUAGCUUAAAACCAAACAAAAUUAGAUAACUUUUUAUUUGCCAACAACAUGAUUUUAAGAUUCAAAGAAACACACUCUUUAAUCCUCAAUUUCUAGUUUUGAUCUUAUAAUAUAAGUUAGAAAUCAA